rnacentral:rRNA from 1 species
UACAGAGGUCUCAAGCGUUGUUCGGAUUCAUUGGGCGUAAAGGGUGCGUAGGCGGCGCGGUAAGUCGGGGUGUGAAAUCUCGGAGCUUAACUCCGAAACUGCAUUCGAUACUACCGUGCUUGAGGACUGGAGAGGAGACUGGAAUUUACGGUGUAGCGGUGAAAUGCGUAGAUAUCGUAAGGAAGACCAGUGGCGAAGGCGGGUCUCUGGACAGUUCCUGACACUGAGACACGAAGGCCAGGGGAGCAAACGGG